AGUGCAUGUGGUGGAUGCCUUGGCAGUCAGAGGCGAUGAAAGACGUGAUAGCCUGCGAAAAGCUCCGGGGAGGCGGCAAAUAUCCUUUGAUCCGGAGAUGUCUGAAUGGGGGAACCCACCUACUUUAAGGUAGGUAUUGCAACAUGAAUACAUAGUGUUGCAAGGCGAACGAGGGGAAGUGAAACAUCUCAGUACCCUUAGGAAAAGAAAUCAAUUGAGAUUCCCUCAGUAGCGGCGAGCGAACGGGGAUCAGCCCAUUAAGUUAUGUGUGUUUUAGUGGAACGCUCUGGGAAGUGCGAACGUAGAGGGUGAUAUUCCCGUACACGAAAGGGCACACAUAAUGAUGACGAGUAGGGCGAGGCACGUGAAACCUUGUCUGAAUAUGGGGGGACCAUCCUCCAAGGCUAAAUACUCCUGACUGACCGAUAGUGAACCAGUACCGUGAGGGAAAGGCGAAAAGAACCCCUGUGAGGGGAGUGAAAUAGAUCCUGAAACCGCAUGCAUACAAGCAGUGGGAGCACCUUCGUGGUGUGACUGCGUACCUUUUGUAUAAUGGGUCAGCGACUUAUAUUCAGUAGCGAGGUUAACCGUAUAGGGGAGCCGUAGAGAAAUCGAGUCUUAAUAGGGCGUUUAGUUGCUGGGUAUAGACCCGAAACCAGGCGAUCUAUCCAUGAGCAGGUUGAAGGUUGGGUAACACUAACUGGAGGACCGAACCCACUGUCGUUGAAAAGCCAGGGGAUGACUUGUGGAUAGGGGUGAAAGGCUAAUCAAGCCUGGUGAUAGCUGGUUCUCCCCGAAAGCUAUUUAGGUAGCGCCUCGGACGAAUACCAUAGGGGGUAGAGCACUGUUUCGGCUAGGGGGUCAUCCCGACUUACCAAACCGAUGCAAACUCCGAAUACCUAUGAGUACUAUCCGGGAGACAGACUGCGGGUGCUAACGUCCGUAGUCAAGAGGAAAACAAUCCAGACCGCCAGCUAAGGCCCCAAAAUCAUAGUUAAGUGGGAAACGAUGUGGGAAGGCAUAGACAGCUAGGAGGUUGGCUUAGAAGCAGCCACCCUUUAAAGAAAGCGUAAUAGCUCACUAGUCGAGUCGGCCUGCGCGGAAGAUGUAACGGGGCUAAAACUAUGUGCCGAAGCUGCGGAUGUAUACUUUGUAUACGUGGUAGGGGAGCGUUCUGUAAGCCGAUGAAGGUGUGUUGAGAAGCAUGCUGGAGGUAUCAGAAGUGCGAAUGCUGACGUGAGUAACGACAAAACGGGUGAAAAACCCGUUCGCCGAAAGACCAAGGGUUCCAGUCCAACGUUAAUCGGGGCUGGGUGAGUCGACCCCUAAGGCGAGGCCGAAAGGCGUAGUCGAUGGGAAAAUGGUUAAUAUUCCAUUACUUCUGUGUAAUGCGAUGAGAGGACGGAGAAGGCUAAAUCAGCCUGGCGUUGGUUGUCCAGGUGAAAGGAUGUAGGCAUGUAUCUUAGGCAAAUCCGGGGUACUCUAUGCUGAGAUCUGAUAGCAAGCUGUACUUGUACAGCGAAGUGGUUGAUGCCAUGCUUCCAGGAAAAGUCUCUAAGCUUCAGUUACACAGGAAUCGUACCCGAAACCGACACAGGUGGUCAGGUCGAGUAGACCAAGGCGCUUGAGAGAACUCUGCUGAAGGAACUAGGCAAAAUGGUACCGUAACUUCGGGAGAAGGUACGCUGUUGUUGGUGAUGGAACUCGCUUCCUGAGCUGACGACAGCCGCAGAAACCAGGCCGCUGCAACUGUUUAUUAAAAACAUAGCACUCUGCAAACACGAAAGUGGACGUAUAGGGUGUGAUGCCUGCCCGGUGCUGGAAGGUUAAUUGAUGGGGUUAGCGUAAGCGAAGCUCUUGAUCGAAGCCCCAGUAAACGGCGGCCGUAACUAUAACGGUCCUAAGGUAGCGAAAUUCCUUGUCGGGUAAGUUCCGACCUGCACGAAUGGCAUAAUGAUGGCGGCGCUGUCUCCAGCAGAGGCUCAGUGAAAUCGAAAUCGCUGUGAAGAUGCAGUGUACCCGCGGCUAGACGGAAAGACCCCGUGAACCUUUACUGCAGCUUGACACUGAACUUUGACCUUACUUGUGUAGGAUAGGUGGGAGGCUUUGAAGCUGGAACGCUAGUUCCAGUGGAGCCGUCCUUGAAAUACCACCCUGGUAAUGUUGAGGUUCUAACUCUGU
rnacentral:rRNA from 1 species